UUGAGGCUCCUCCAGGAUCUCUUUGUUUUCAUUUUGCCUGAAUUUCACAUCUAUAAUUAGAGUUGAGAAGAAAAUGUUCUGCACAGGGAAUUUUGCUAACACCACUGCUUUUGAAGAGGAAGUCUUUUUAGAGGUGAAGAAUACGGGAAAGCUGCGCCCAUCCCUUUAUAAAAACAUGCUCUCUCCUGAGAACCUAAGAAUGAUAGAAGGAGUUCCUGAAGAAUGUGGGGAAUUGGAAAGUAGAGGGAAAAUUGAGGAGACACAGUGGCUUCUGGAUUGGAACCAUAUAGUAGCUGAAAGCCUUUAAUAUAUACUUCAAAUCUGUGGAAAUGCGUGCAUAAUUACUUGGGUAAGUAUAAUGUUUUGUUCAUCUGACAUAUUUUACCCUACGAUAUAAUGAUUCUUUCCAAGUGCAUGGAAUUUUCACCAUAACACAAUUUGACAAAAACUUAUUUAAGGGGUGCCUGGGUGGCUCAGUGGGUUAAAG
rnacentral:lncRNA from 1 species